rnacentral:rRNA from 1 species
UACGGAGGGUGCAAGCGUUGUUCGGAUUUAUUGGGCGUAAAGCGCGUGUAGGCGGUCUUCUAAGUCUGAUGUGAAAGCCCUGGGCUCAACCCAGGAAGUGCAUUGGAUACUGGAAGACUUGAAUACGGGAGAGGGUAGUGGAAUUCCUAGUGUAGGAGUGAAAUCCGUAGAUAUUAGGAGGAACACCGGUGGCGAAGGCGGGCUACCUGGACCGAUAUUGACGUGAGACGCGAAAAGCGUGGGGGAGCAAACAGG